GAUGAAGAACGUAGCGAAAUGCGAUAAGUAAUGUGAAUUGCAGAAUUCAGUGAAUCAUCGAAUCUUUGAACGCACAUUGCGCCCCCUGGUAUUCCGGGGGGCAUGCCUGUUCGAGCGUCAUUUCACCACUCAAGCCUCGCUUGGUAUUGGGCAACGCGGUCCGCCGCGUGCCUCAAAUCGACCGGCUGGGUCUUCUGUCCCCUAAGCGUUGUGGAAACUAUUCGCUAAAGGGUGUUCGGGAGGCUACGCCGUAAAACAACCCCAUUUCUAAGGUUGACCUCGGAUCAGGUAGGGAUACCCGCUGAACUUAAGCAUAUCAAUAAAGCGGAGGA
rnacentral:misc_RNA from 1 species